GACGAACGCUGGCGGCGUGCCUAAUACAUGCAAGUAGAACGCUGAAGGAAGGAGCUUGCUCUUUCUGGAUGAGUUGCGAACGGGUGAGUAACGCGUAGGUAACCUGCCUGGUAGCGGGGGAUAACUAUUGGAAACGAUAGCUAAUACCGCAUAAAAUUGAUUAUUGCAUGAUAGUCAAUUAAAAGGUGCAACUGCACCACUACCAGAUGGACCUGCGUUGUAUUAGCUAGUUGGUGGGGUAACGGCUCACCAAGGCGACGAUACAUAGCCGACCUGAGAGGGUGAUCGGCCACACUGGGACUGAGACACGGCCCAGACUCCUACGGGAGGCAGCAGUAGGGAAUCUUCGGCAAUGGACGGAAGUCUGACCGAGCAACGCCGCGUGAGUGAAGAAGGUUUUCGGAUCGGAAAGCUCUGUUGUAAGAGAAGAACGAGUGUGAGAGUGGAAAGUUCACACUGUGACGGUAUCUUACCAGAAAGGGACGGCUAACUACGUG
rnacentral:rRNA from 1 species